UACGUAGGGGGCUAGCGUUGUCCGGAUUUAUUGGGCGUAAAGAGCGUGUAGGCGGCCAGGUAGGUCUGCUGUGAAAACUCGAGGCUCAACCUCGAGACGUCGGCGGAAACCAUCUGGCUAGAGUCCGGAAGAGGAGAGUGGAAUUCCUGGUGUAGCGGUGAAAUGCGCAGAUAUCAGGAGGAACACCAAUUGCGAAGGCAGCUCGCUGGAACGUAACUGACGCUGAGACGCGAAAGCGUGGGGAGCAAACAGG
rnacentral:rRNA from 1 species